GCCGUUGUGGUGGAAUUGGUAGACACGCCAGGCUUAGAACCUGGUGGGGCGACCCGUGGGGGUUCGAGUCCCUCCAACGGCACCA
rnacentral:tRNA from 1 species